GACGAACGCUGGCGGCGUGCUUAACACAUGCAAGUCGAACGGUGAAGCGAGUGCUUGCACUCGUGGAUCAGUGGCGAACGGGUGAGUAACACGUGAGUAACCUGCCCAUCACUCUGGGAUAAGCACUGGAAACGGUGUCUAAUACUGGAUACGACCAACCCUUGCAUGGGGUGUUGGUGGAAAGAUUUAUCGGUGAUGGAUGGACUCGCGGCCUAUCAGCUUGUUGGCGGGGUAAUGGCCCACCAAGGCGACGACGGGUAGCCGGCCUGAGAGGGUGACCGGCCACACUGGGACUGAGACAAGGCCCAGACUCCUACGGGAGGCAGCAGUGGGGAAUAUUGCACAAUGGGCGAAAGCCUGAUGCAGCGACGCCGCGUGAGGGAUGACGGCCUUCGGGUUGUAAACCUCUUUCAGCAGGGAAGAAGCGAAAGUGACGGUACCUGCAGAAGAAGCACCGGCUAACUACGUG
rnacentral:rRNA from 1 species